rnacentral:rRNA from 1 species
CGUAGGUCCCCGAGCGUUGUCCGGAUUUAUUGGGCGUAAAAGCGAGCGCAGGCGGUUUAAUUAAGUCUGAAGUUAAAAGGACAGUGGCUUAAACCAUUGUUCGCUUUGGGAACUGUUAGACUUGAGUGCAGAAGGGGAGAGUGGAAUUCCAUGUGUAGCGGUGAAAUGCGUAGAUAUAUGGAGGAACACCGGUGGCGAAAGCGGCUCUCUGGUCUGUAACUGACGCUGAGGCUCGAAAAGCGUGGGGAGGCAAACAAGGAGUU